CGUGUAGGCGGUUUGUUAAGUCUGAUGUGAAAGCCCCGGGCUCAACCUGGGAAGUGCAUUGGAUACUGGCAGACUUGAAUACGGGAGAGGGUAGUGGAAUUCCUGGUGUAGGAGUGAAAUCCGUAGAUAUCAGGAGGAACACCGGUGGCGAAGGCGGCUACCUGGACCGAUAUUGACGCUGAGACGCGAAAGCGUGGGGAGCAAACAGGAUUAGAUACCCUGGUAGUCCACGCCGUAAACGAUAAGUACUAGGUGUUGCGGGUAUUGACCCCUGCAGUGCCGCAGCUAACGCAUUAAGUACUCCGCCUGGGAAGUACGGUCGCAAGACUAAA
rnacentral:rRNA from 1 species